rnacentral:lncRNA from 1 species
CACGAGUCGAGGAACGUCUGGGGAAUACCAGCUCCAGACUUAGCUAUUCUUCCCCUAGCAUGGAUAGCUCCGUGCCUCCAGGCUCUACGCCUCCCACUGCGUGACGCAGUCUGAUGAAUGAAGCGGUACGAACGUGCAGCAACAUGGAAGAGGAUAUUCCAGAUUUGUCAGUGGUCAUCUUUGCCAAUAAGCAGGAUGUGAAGAAUUCAAUGACCACGUCAGAAAUCUCCCACUCGAAGGAUCUCAGUUCUAUCAAAGAUCAUCCAUACAAGCCUGCUGUGCUAUCACAGGAGAAGGGUCAGCAAAGACUGAGCCUGGGGACAGCCCUGAGAGCCUGGGACCCUGACCUUGUUCCCCAGAACAAUCUCUUCUCUCCUUCCAUUGCUCUCAAACAAGACCUGUAGGGGUACAGUCACCUGUUGUGGAGAAGUUAGGACAGAGAGAUCCAGGGCUUAGUCAGAUAAAGGGCAAGCCCAUUUCUGGUUGUGCCAUCUCUCUGCUACCCCUGGGGCAGGAGGGAGUUAACCUAGCCACCCAGAUGUGUUACAUUAUCCUGAAACUUGCCCUCCCUAUUGGAGUAGGAAAGGGGGAUCUGACCUACCCUAAGGAUACCCACCCAUUAAACCUCUUGCUACAAGUGAAAUAUUCCUUAAAUUACUUUCAUGCAAAUAAGGGGGCCCUAAGCCUUGCGGGCAUAUGCCUUAUGGGGAGCUAGGUGGCACAAUGGAUAGAGUGCUGAGCCUGGAGUCAGGAAGACUCAUCUUUCUGAAUUCAAAUCUGGCCUCAGAUACUUACUAGCUGAGUGAUCCUGGGCAAGUCACUUAACCUGGUUUGCCUCAGUUUCCUUAUCUGUGAAAUGAGCUGGAGAAGAAAAUGGCAAACUAUUCUGGUAUCUUUUGCCAAGAAAAACCCAAAUAGGGUCAUGAACGGUCAGACAGGCUGUCUAAAAUGAGGGCAGGGCUGCUGUCAGAGGGAGGAAAGAAGCCUAGCUGAACAAUUUAGGUAUUGAGGCAGUGCUUUGGAGAUGACCACUGUCACUCUGGCGAUGGCAUUUAACUGCUGUCCUUUGUC